rnacentral:tRNA from 1 species
UCCCUGGUAGCUCAGUUGGUAAAGAAUCUGCCUGCAAUGCAGGAGACCCUGGUUCAAUCCCUGGGUUGGGAA